AACGAACGCUGGCGGCAGGCCUAACACAUGCAAGUCGAACGCUGCAGCAAUACAGAGUGGCCGACGGGUGAGUAACACGUGGGAAUCCGCCUAUCGGUACGGCAUAGCUCAGGGAAACCUGGGGUAUUACCGCAUACGCCCUUCGCGGGAAAGAUUCAUCGCCGAUGGAUGAGCACGCGUCUGAUCAGAUAGUUGGGGAGGUAAUGGCUCACCAAGGCGGCGAGCGGUAGCUGGGCUGAGAGGAUAACCAGCCACACUGGGACUGAGACACGGCCCAGACUCGAACGGGAGGCAGCAGGGGGGAAUAUUGGACAAUGGGCGCAAGCCUGAUCCAGCCAUGCCGCGUGAGUGACGAAGGUCUUCGGAUUGUAAAGCUCUUGUGGCGGGGACGAUAAUGACGGUACCCGCAGAAUAAGCCCCGGCUAACUUCGUGCCAGCCGCCGCAGUAA
rnacentral:rRNA from 1 species